rnacentral:tRNA from 1 species
GGGUUAUAGCUCUGUGGCAGAGUGCUUGCCUAACAUGUGUGAGGCACUGGGUUCAAUCCUCAGACCCA